rnacentral:lncRNA from 10 species
GAUGAUGGAGGCUACACAGCUCUUCUCUCUGGGCAAGCAUGCCAGAGAUCUUGGAGAACAGCAACUGCCUGUUCAGAGCAAAAGCAUUCAUCCGGAUAACAAAAGUGCCACCUUCUUUCUGACUCAGUUUUCUUUACCAGGCUCCUUUUGUAGAAACCACUUGUAUAGGUAAAAGACCUGCUAUAGUCUUCAAUCUAAUGGCCGUGCCAGUUUUAAAGGUCAGCCACAGCUGGGAGAGAGAGGCCAGAUUACAGUCUUGAAUUCCUGGGCUCACAUGAUGUUUCUACCUCAGCCUUCCUAGCAGCUGGAAAUAAAGGCAAACGCCACAAUGACCAGCUAAUUUUUUAAUUUAGUGUUAUUGAGAUGGGAUCUUGCUAUGUUGCCCAAGCUUACCCAGAACUCCUGGCCUCAAGCAUCUUGCUGCUUUAGCCUCCUGAAUAGCUGGGAUUACAGGCACAAGCCAUCACUCCCAGAUUAAUUCUUCUAAUCUAUGAACACAUGAUGUUUUUUCAUUUAUCUGUGUCAUCUUCAGUUUCGUGCAUCAAUGUUUUAGUUUUCA